UACGGGGGGGGCAAGCGUUGUUCGGAAUUACUGGGCGUAAAGGGCUCGUAGGUGGCCAACUAAGUCAGACGUGAAAUCCCUCGGCUUAACCGGGGAACUGCGUCUGAUACUGGAUGGCUUGAGUUUGGGAGAGGGACGCGGAAUUCCAGGUGUAGCGGUGAAAUGCGUAGAUAUCAGGAGGAACACCGAUGGCGAAGGCAGGUCUCUGGGCAUUAACUGACGCUGAGGAGCGAAAGCAUGGGGAGCGAACAGG
rnacentral:rRNA from 1 species